rnacentral:rRNA from 1 species
UACGAAGGGAGCUAGCGUUGUUCGGAAUUACUGGGCGUAAAGGGCGUGUAGGCGGUAUCAUAAGUCAGAUGUGAAAGCCCCAGGCUUAACCUGGGAGGUGCAUUUGAUACUGUGAAACUAGAGAUCGAGAGAGGAAAGUGGAAUUACGAGUGUAGAGGUGAAAUUCGUAGAUAUUCGUAAGAACACCAGUGGCGAAGGCGACUUUCUGGCUCGAUACUGACGCUAAGGCGCGAAAGCGUGGGGAGCAAACAGG